rnacentral:rRNA from 1 species
GGGUUGUGAGGUUAAGCGACUAAGCGUACACGGUGGAUGCCCUGGCAGUCAGAGGCGAUGAAGGACGUGCUAAUCUGCGAUAAGCGUCGGUAAGGUGAUAUGAACCGUUAUAACCGGCGAUGUCCGAAUGGGGAAACCCAGUGUGAUUCGUCACACUAUCAUUAACUGAAUCCAUAGGUUAAUGAGGCGAACCGGGGGAACUGAAACAUCUAAGUACCCCGAGGAAAAGAAAUCAACCGAGAUUCCCCCAGUAGCGGCGAGCGAACGGGGAGGAGCCCAGAGCCUGAAUCAGUGUGUGUGUUAGUGGAAGCGUCUGGAAAGGCGCGCGAUACAGGGUGACAGCCCCGUACACAAAAAUGCACAUGCUGUGAGCUCGAUGAGUAGGGCGGGACACGUGGUAUCCUGUCUGAAUAUGGGGGGACCAUCCUCCAAGGCUAAAUACUCCUGACUGACCGAUAGUGAACCAGUACCGUGAGGGAAAGGCGAAAAGAACCCCGGCGAGGGGAGUGAAAAAGAACCUGAAACCGUGUACGUACAAGCAGUGGGAGCCCUGAUUUAUCAGGGUGACUGCGUACCUUUUGUAUAAUGGGUCAGCGACUUAUAUUCUGUAGCAAGGUUAACCGAAUAGGGGAGCCGGAGGGAAACCGAGUCUUAACUGGGCGUUAAGUUGCAGGGUAUAGACCCGAAACCCGGUGAUCUAGCCAUGGGCAGGUUGAAGGUUGGGUAACACUAACUGGAGGACCGAACCGACUAAUGUUGAAAAAUUAGCGGAUGACUUGUGGCUGGGGGUGAAAGGCCAAUCAAACCGGGAGAUAGCUGGUUCUCCCCGAAAGCUAUUUAGGUAGCGCCUCGUGAAUUCAUCUCCGGGGGUAGAGCACUGUUUCGGCAAGGGGGUCAUCCCGACUUACCAACCCGAUGCAAACUGCGAAUACCGGAGAAUGUUAUCACGGGAGACACACGGCGGGUGCUAACGUCCGUCGUGAAGAGGGAAACAACCCAGACCGCCAGCUAAGGUCCCAAAGUCAUGGUUAAGUGGGAAACGAUGUGGGAAGGCCCAGACAGCCAGGAUGUUGGCUUAGAAGCAGCCAUCAUUUAAAGAAAGCGUAAUAGCUCACUGGUCGAGUCGGCCUGCGCGGAAGAUGUAACGGGGCUAAACCAUGCACCGAAGCUGCGGCAGCGACACUAUGUGUUGUUGGGUAGGGGAGCGUUCUGUAAGCCUGUGAAGGUGUGCUGUGAGGCAUGCUGGAGGUAUCAGAAGUGCGAAUGCUGACAUAAGUAACGAUAAAGCGGGUGAAAAGCCCGCUCGCCGGAAGACCAAGGGUUCCUGUCCAACGUUAAUCGGGGCAGGGUGAGUCGACCCCUAAGGCGAGGCCGAAAGGCGUAGUCGAUGGGAAACAGGUUAAUAUUCCUGUACUUGGUGUUACUGCGAAGGGGGGACGGAGAAGGCUAUGUUGGCCGGGCGACGGUUGUCCCGGUUUAAGCGUGUAGGCUGGUUUUCCAGGCAAAUCCGGAAAAUCAAGGCUGAGGCGUGAUGACGAGGCACUACGGUGCUGAAGCAACAAAUGCCCUGCUUCCAGGAAAAGCCUCUAAGCAUCAGGUAACAUCAAAUCGUACCCCAAACCGACACAGGUGGUCAGGUAGAGAAUACCAAGGCGCUUGAGAGAACUCGGGUGAAGGAACUAGGCAAAAUGGUGCCGUAACUUCGGGAGAAGGCACGCUGAUAUGUAGGUGAAGCGACUUGCUCGUGGAGCUGAAAUCAGUCGAAGAUACCAGCUGGCUGCAACUGUUUAUUAAAAACACAGCACUGUGCAAACACGAAAGUGGACGUAUACGGUGUGACGCCUGCCCGGUGCCGGAAGGUUAAUUGAUGGGGUCAGCGCAAGCGAAGCUCUUGAUCGAAGCCCCGGUAAACGGCGGCCGUAACUAUAACGGUCCUAAGGUAGCGAAAUUCCUUGUCGGGUAAGUUCCGACCUGCACGAAUGGCGUAAUGAUGGCCAGGCUGUCUCCACCCGAGACUCAGUGAAAUUGAACUCGCUGUGAAGAUGCAGUGUACCCGCGGCAAGACGGAAAGACCCCGUGAACCUUUACUAUAGCUUGACACUGAACACUGGUCCUUGAUGUGUAGGAUAGGUGGGAGGCUUUGAAGUGUGGACGCCAGUCUGCAUGGAGCCGUCCUUGAAAUACCACCCUUUAAUGGCUGGUGUUCUAACGUUGGCCCCUUACCGGGGUUGCGGACAGUGUCUGGUGGGUAGUUUGACUGGGGCGGUCUCCUCCUAAAGAGUAACGGAGGAGCACGAAGGUUGGCUAAUCCUGGUCGGACAUCAGGAGGUUAGUGCAAUGGCAUAAGCCAGCUUGACUGCGAGCGUGACGGCGCGAGCAGGUGCGAAAGCAGGUCAUAGUGAUCCGGUGGUUCUGAAUGGAAGGGCCAUCGCUCAACGGAUAAAAGGUACUCCGGGGAUAACAGGCUGAUACCGCCCAAGAGUUCAUAUCGACGGCGGUGUUUGGCACCUCGAUGUCGGCUCAUCACAUCCUGGGGCUGAAGUAGGUCCCAAGGGUAUGGCUGUUCGCCAUUUAAAGUGGUACGCGAGCUGGGUUUAGAACGUCGUGAGACAGUUCGGUCCCUAUCUGCCGUGGGCGCUGGAGAACUGAGGGGGGCUGCUCCUAGUACGAGAGGACCGGAGUGGACGCAUCACUGGUGUUCGGGUUGUCAUGCCAAUGGCACUGCCCGGUAGCUAAAUGCGGAAGAGAUAAGUGCUGAAAGCAUCUAAGCACGAAACUUGCCCCGAGAUGAGUUCUCCCUGAGACUUAGAGUCUCCUGAAGGAACGUUGAAGACGACGACGUUGAUAGGCCGGGUGUGUAAGCGCAGCGAUGCGUUGAGCUAACCGGUACUAAUGAACCGUGAGGCUUAACCUUACAACGCCGAAGGUGUUU